rnacentral:rRNA from 1 species
CGUAAGCGCGCGCAGGCGGUUUCUUAAGUCUGAUGUGAAAGCCCCCGGCUCAACCGGGGAGGGUCAUUGGAAACUGGGGAACUUGAGUGCAGAAGAGGAGAGUGGAAUUCCACGUGUAGCGGUGAAAUGCGUAGAGAUGUGGAGGAACACCAGUGGCGAAGGCGACUCUCUGGUCUGUAACUGACGCUGAGGCGCGAAAGCGUGGGGAGCGAACAGGAUUAGAUACCCUGGUAGUCCACGCCGUAAACGAUGAGUGCUAAGUGUUAGAGGGUUUCCGCCCUUUAGUGCUGCAGCAAACGCAUUAAGCACUCCGCCUGGGGAGUACGGUCGCAAGACUGAAACUCAAAGGAAUUGACGGGGGCCCGCACAAGCGGUGGAGCAUGUGGUUUAAUUCGAAGCAACGCGAAGAACCUUACCAGGUCUUGACAUCCUCUGACAACCCUAGAGAUAGGGCUUCCCCUUCGGGGGCAGAGUGACAGGUGGUGCAUGGUUGUCGUCAGCUCGUGUCGUGAGAUGUUGGGUUAAGUCCCGCAACGAGCGCAACCCUUGAUCUUAGUUGCCAGCAUUCAGUUGGGCACUCUAAGGUGACUGCCGGUGACAAACCGGAGGAAGGUGGGGAUGACGUCAAAUCAUCAUGCCCCUUAUGACCUGGGCUACACACGUGCUACAAUGGGCAGAACAAAGGGCAGCGAAGCCGCGAGGCUAAGCCAAUCCCACAAAUCUGUUCUCAGUUCGGAUCGCAGUCUGCAACUCGACUGCGUGAAGCUGGAAUCGCUAGUAAUCGCGGAUCAGCAUGCCGCGGUGAAUACCCCUCCCCGCGCCUUGUACACACCGCCCGUCACACCACGAGAGUUUGUAACACCCGAAGUCGGUGAGGUAACCUUUUGGAGCCAGCCGCCGAAAGGUGGGACAGAUGAUUGGGGUGAAGUCGUAACAAGGUAACCCGUAGUCGUGACUG